AAACAGAGCAGCUGCCAUAAGCAGAGUUCUCAAAUAAUCAUUUGUGUGGAAAUCAAAAAGGAGGGCAACACAGUCUCUGCCCUCAGGAAACUCCGGAAGGGAGGAGAGGACAGCUGAGUGGAAGGUCAACCAGUCCAACUUCUCAUGUUUCAGAAGAGGAAAGCAAGGUCUGGAGAGGGAACGUGGCUUGCCCAAGAUAUGUUUCAAACUUUGAUGAAAAGCAGGGAAGUUUGGGAAGAAAAUCCAAGACUUCUCUGGAGAGAGACCAGGAAACAGGCUCAGAGAGAAGAAGGGAAUUAUGUACCUCGGUUUAGAGCCAAAGUGUCCUGCCUGCAUUCCAGCUGUUUCCAUCCAUGUCCAUGUCAACUGGCAUCUGGAACUACUCGUAGCAGCAUCCACUCAAUGUGAGUUGACUAAAUGGAGGAAAAUCUACUAUGGUGCUUGGAAAAACUGGGACUCUCAUGAUUUAGGAUAUAAAGAUUUGUCGUCUGUCUGAAUGGAAGAAAGAACAGGGCAGUGCUGUGGGGACACUAGGACGUCCUAAGGAAACACACUCACUAAUUUAGGGUAAUCAAUCAGGUAAUACUAUUUAUGGGCUAUUAAUGAUACAUGAGGAUCACACUCGGCCCAAGUUCUUUGCUUUGUUUCACUCUCUUGCUCUGACACCCUCUCCUAAGUUUCAAGGCUUUUCCCUCCCACCACCCCUCCCAGCCAUAUCACCACCACCAUAUUUUAAUUCCCCAUUUUUCUUUUUUUCUUUCUUUUUUUUUUUUUUUUUUUGAGACAGAGUCUUCCUCUGUCACCCAGGCUGGAGUGCAAUGGCACGAUCUUGGCUCACUGCAACCUCCGCCUCCUGGAUUCAAGUGAUUUUCCUGCCUCAGCCUCCUGAGUAGCAGGGAUUACCGGCACGCACCACCAUGCCUGGCUAUUUUUUUUUUUCUGGUUUUUUUUUUUUUUUUUUUUUUUUUUUUGUAGAGGCAGGGUUUCAUUCAGCAUGUUGGCCAGGCUGGUCUUGAACGCCUGACCUCAGGUGAUCUGCCCACCUCGGCCUCCCAAAGUGCUGGGAUUACAGUCACUGUGCCAGGCCCUUAUUCCCCAUUUUUCUGUCCACCCUCCCUUUGUCACCAUCGCAAACGUCUCCCAGGACGGACUGGGCUUGCCUUCAUAUUGACCACGCAUGUUUAUGCUGGGACACUCUUUCCUUUUUGAGGUUCUUCCCUCUUAUUGAUGUGCUUAUUAAUUAAUCAGAUGUUUACUGAACACCUGCAUGCAAGACCCUUUCCUAGCGUCACUGCGUAUGAAUAAUCAUUGAAAAUUACACAGAGUUUGGUAUAUGUCUCGUAAGAACUAAAGAGGAAAAGUUACUCUAUAGAAUCCUAAAAUGAAAUAACUUCUAAGCAACAAGAUAGCAGUAAAAAGCUUGAGUUUUUAUUAAUGUAUUAUUAUUAUUUAUUAAUUAUAUUCCUCUGUCUGAAAUCUUCCCUCAGUCACCAGGGUGGAAUCGAUAAAUGGCAACAUUUUCCUCUCUGAUGUUUUUUAACUGCAUUAAAAGGCAUGGAGUUUUAAUUUCACAUGCAUUUGUUUCUGGGUCUUGGGUCGUUUUUUUUUUUUUUCUUCUUCCUCAAAGCAGAUAAAUGAGGUUCCAAACUUCAGAUAAUAAGGCUUAACAGUGAGGCGCUUUUUAAAAAGUGAAUCAUUUCUCAGUUCUCCUUUGCUAACCUCUCUUGGUA
rnacentral:lncRNA from 1 species